AUUGAACGCUGGCGGCAGGCUUAACACAUGCAAGUCGAGCGGGGUGAUGGUGCUUGCACUAUCACUUAGCGGCGGACGGGUGAGUAAUGCUUAGGAAUCUGCCUAUUAGUGGGGGACAACAUCUCGAAAGGGAUGCUAAUACCGCAUACGUCCUACGGGAGAAAGCAGGGGAUCACUUGUGACCUUGCGCUAAUAGAUGAGCCUAAGUCGGAUUAGCUAGUUGGUGGGGUAAAGGCCUACCAAGGCGACGAUCUGUAGCGGGUCUGAGAGGAUGAUCCGCCACAGUGGGACUGAGAAACGGCCCAGACUCCUACGGGAGGCAGCAGUGGGGAAUAUUGGACAAUGGGGGGAACCCUGAUCCAGCCAUGCCGCGUGUGUGAAGAAGGCCUUAUGGUUGUAAAGCACUUUAAGCGAGGAGGAGGCUCUUUUGGUUAAUACCCAAGAUGAGUGGACGUUACUCGCAGAAUAAGCACCGGCUAACUCUGUGCCAGCCGCCGCUGUAA
rnacentral:rRNA from 1 species